rnacentral:misc_RNA from 1 species
CUUCCCACAGUCGCGUUACACCAGCAGUAAGUAUCUGCCGUUCGACGAGCGACACGGUAAGCCUCGUUAAAAAAAUGAAAUCUUUCAUCGAAUACUCGCCGAGCAGUGAUUUCCCCCUGGAAAAUCUCCCCUAUGGAGUCUUCUCCACAUCGACUAACCCCGUGAAAAGAAUAGGCGUCGCGAUUGGCUCAGAAAUAUUGGACCUCAAGGCGGUGGCUCAUUUGUUUACGGGUAAAAUUCUUGCUGGAAAACAAGAUGCGUUACGUCAGGAAGCCCUCAAUGAUUUCAUGGCGCUUGGCAGGCCGGCUUGGACUGAAGCCAGAUCCACACUGCAGGAUCUACUCUCGGCGGACAAUCAUACCUUGCAGGAACCGGAAAUACGCUCUAAAGUAUUCGUGCAGCAAAGAGACGCAGUGAUGCAUCUCCCAGCAAAAAUAGGUGACUACACAGACUUCUACUCGUCGAUUCACCACGCGACUAACGUGGGCACGAUGUUUCGUGGAAAAGAGUCGGCUUUGAUGCCAAAUUGGAAAUAUCUUCCGGUUGGGUAUCACGGAAGAGCAAGUUCGGUCGUUGUUUCUGGGACGCCUAUCAGGAGACCGCGGGGUCAGACACUUCCGGUGGAUGGGGCUGCCCCCGUUUACGGUCCAUGCAGGCUGAUGGACUUCGAACUGGAAGUCGCCUUCUUCGUUGGGGGGCCGGCAACCAGACUGGGAGAGAGUAUACCGGCCGCGAAGGCCUACGACCACAUAUUCGGAAUGGUGACGAUGAACGAUUGGAGCGCCAGAGACAUACAGAAGUGGGAAUACGUUCCGCUGGGUCCAUUCACAGCCAAGAAUCUCGGGACAACGAUAUCUCCAUGGGUCGUUACAAUGGAAGCCCUCGAGCCAUUCAAAGUUCCAAACAUGCCGCAAAAUCCAGACCCGUUUCCCUACCUACAUCACGAGGGUUCUUGCAACUUUGACAUCAAACUGGAAGUUGAUAUCAAAGGUAAAGUUUUACGAGGAAUUUUGUGUACAAAAAAAUGCUCUCUUCUCAAUUCUCGUCCUCCAGGUCCUCAGGACGUCGCCACCACCGUGACCAGGAGUAAUUACAAAUUCAUGUACUGGACGCCGCAACAGCAGCUUGCUCAACAUACCGUGACCGGAUGCAAUUUGAAUCCUGGUGACCUGAUGGCAUCGGGAACAAUCAGUGGCGAGACGGUCGACUCUUACGGAUCAAUGCUUGAGCUCAGUUGGAAAGGUACGAAGCCGGUACCUCUGAAAGACGGAACUGUCCGAAAGUUUUUGCAAGAUGGUGAUGAAGUAUCAAUCAAAGGUUUCUGCGUGGGUGAGAACUAUCGUAUUGGCUUUGGUCCUUGCGUUGGUAAAUUGUUACCUACGAAUCCCGAAUAAGGAGGCGAUUCUGGAGCGAGCAUUUUGUACUCCCAACUUUUGUACAAUGAAAAACUUGAUAUUAUAGUCUAGUGAGGUGCCGCCAUCCCAGUGACAAUUUAACGUACUGGUUUUGCCGCGAACUAGCGAAAGCGGCAAUCAGCUCUAAACCGUGUGUCGACAAACUUAUCAUUCGCUAGAAUGAAGUGAUAUCUUACCGCAGUAACCACAUUACUGCCAGAAUUGUGAAAACUUCAGGCAAAUGUUGAUCUACGCCGACUACAACUCUGCUUAUUUUUUACCUAGACGUAUUUUAAUUUCCGAUAAACCAUAAUAUUUUUGAACUUGAAUAAAGUGCUGAAAUACGAAUCAAAACUA